ensembl:lncRNA
AUGCCAGUGGUGAAUGAAAAUGAAAUAAAACUUUCUGGCUUUUUUUUUAUUCUAGCAGAUAAGCCCAAGGUGUACCAGGGUGUGCGUGUGAAGACCACUGUUAAGGAGUUACUGCAGAAGCACAGAGCCCUGCAGGCACAGAAAACCGCAACGAAAUCACAAGCCAUGGCUGCUCGCGAUGUCUGCUCUACGACCAUGAAUACCCACCUUGAUGUCUUUGGAAUGCAAGCUCCAGAGCCCUAUUUCCAGACACGUCCCUUUACCGAAAAUGUCAAUAUCCCGAUGGAGAAUGCUUAUGAUCAUCAACAAAUGAUGCACCUGAUGCCACAUGAGACUUUCAGCGGCAGUAAUUUCGUGUGUCCCACUUCUUCGCAGUGGUCUAAUGGAUAUAUUCCUUCUAACACGGACCUCUAUGGUACUAGCCUGGUAUCGAGAUCACCCUCUGAUACUUUCAAUCUCCCAAGUCCAGUCGACUACAACAGUUACUCUCCCCCUCAGUCCAACUCUUCAUCUUCUUCGUGCUACAGCUCUCCAACGCGGAUGGAUUUGAGCUCUAGUUUCUCUCCAGAAAAUUACCACUAUCAGCAUUGCAACCUACAGAAUUGCUUUUGUCUUUCGCAUUGGUCCAAUCUGCAGGAAGGCAUGGCAACCUCGGAGUUUGCGCCCUACGGCUCUUCAGACUGUUUGUAUUCAUAUGGCGACGACAGUUAUUUCAGAAGGGAUACUUCAAACUCAGAGAUGUGUUUCUUAUAAAAUGCAUUUUGAAGCUCUUUGCGCGAAAAUUCAGUGUCAUAAUUGAUUUAUUUGAAUGCAUUUGUUGUAUUUUAGAUUAGAUAAAAGAACAAGCAGUGAUAGAAUGCAUGAUUUACAAAUUAUUCAUUUAUCUUUUCUACAAUAAACAUAUUUUUUUCGUAAUUAUACUGGCA